ensembl:lncRNA
CUUGCUUUUGUUUGCUUGACAAAGCUAAUUCCUUCUGAAAUUCUAGUCUAGUCUGGAGUGAGGCUUUGGUCUAGGCUUGGCCAUUUAUGAAGGAGACGCUGUACAUUCGGAGGGUAUGGGUGUGGUCUCAGCGGUGGAAAUCAAGGGGGCAGGACCCCAGGGGAAGGAGGGAGAGAGGCAGCUAAUGAGUGCACCUCCAGUCUCCCUCUGGAGAUCCCAGGCAAGCUUGCUCUGCCCUAAUCUUACUGGGUUUUGUUUUAUAGGGAAGGCUGUCCUCUUUCAGAUGGGGAGCUGAAAGAAAAAUACCACGUAGAUCUCCUGGGAUCCAGCAAGCCAGAUUACAAGGUAUCCAAAUGGUUGGAGAAGGAAAUGGCUAUCCACUCCAGUAUUCUUGCCUGGAAAAUUCCCUGGACAGAGGAACCUGGUGGGCUACAGUCCAUGGGGUCGCAAAGAGUCAGCCACGACUGAGCUCACAUCCCAGUGGUAUGUCACUGUGGUUCUGAUUAACACAUCUCUGAUGAGGAGUAGUGUAGAAUGCCUUUAGAUAGACUUGCUGGCUAUACCUGUAGAGAUGUGUCUGUUCAAGUCUUUUG